rnacentral:lncRNA from 1 species
UGAACUUAUAUCCAGGGUAACAUUACUAUUAUAUUAUUGUUAUCUCUCUAGUGUUUUACUUUUUCUUUUUCUCUAUUAACAUAUCAAAUUAUAUGUAUAUGUAUGAAAAGGUUUAUUGAUGAAAUAUUUAAAAAAAAAAACAGUGAAGUCUUGUUAAUUUGGAAAGUGACAAUUCAUUAUUUUUUUAAUGUGGCAUACUAUGGUUUACUCUUUACAUGAUGAGUUUGCAGACACUUUAUGAAAUAUAUACAUAAUAUUUUGUUCCACGAUGAUAAAACUCCUUAUUUUAUUUAGAUUUUUUAUUAAGAUUUUCAUUCUUGAGUUUUAGCAAGUCUCUCAAUGAUCUCAUUCAUAAGUUAGGUUUGUUUUAUUUGAUCGUUAUAGACCUUAUUAACAAAGUUUGGUUUUAUAAAAUAUUUUAGUUUUGAUAACUUUUUAUCAGUUCUAAUAGAUUUAUUUGACUUUAGUUGUUAAAAAUUUGACAGUUUUUAGCAUGUCUGAUGGAUGUCAUCUAUCUCAGGUUUGAGGGAUUGUAUCUCGGAAAAAUUUGACAUAUUUUUUUUAUCAUCAACUUAAGCUUCAUUUUUGUUUAUAUACACUUUUUAAUAAUCUCUGGAGCCUUAUUCUGACUUUGUCAAUAUAUUAAGACAUUGUUAUGUGUGUUUUACAUAAAGUGUAGUUUUUUCUUUCUUUAAUUGUUGAUGUUUUUAGGAGUCAUACAAUCAAAAAAAGCUACCUCCUUUACAAAAUUCAAAAUAUUUUCAACAGAUUUGUUGUUUUGGAUUGGUGCUUAAUAGAUCAAAAUAGUGAAAACAGGUGUAUUUUGCAAGUGUCUAUUAACCUCAAAAAUCUGUUCAGCCAAAAAAGAAUUAUUUUAGAUAUGCUAUAAAACUUUUUUUGUAUCUUAAUUUGAAUUUGUGAACGUUUUUUACUUUUUUGAUUAGAUGUGCCUCAAUAACUUUAUAAGUAUAUUUCUAGAUUUUAUUUUCCUCAAAAUAAAAAAAGCUUUUUAAUGAGCACCAAUUUCAAAAAUGAAAUAAACAAAGUUUUUUGUUUAUGCAUGAAUCUCAUUUUAUAGAAUUUAGUCAUUUUUGUUAUUUUUUCCUAAACUUUUUAAAAUGCUUAUACUGUUUUACUCAAGAGUUGACUCUACAGUUUGCUAGAUAAAAUGUGUUGUUUGAUGGUUGUUAAAAAUUUGGAUUGUUAAAGAAAUACAUUUGAACUUUGUCUUAUUGUUCUUUCUUUUUCCCAGAGAUGUUCGUUUUAUUUUUUGUACCUUUGAGUCAUAUCACAUUUCUUGUAUUAUAUAUACAGAUGUAAAGCUUUAUAAAGACAUGAAAUGUCUGUUAUUAUUGCAUGUAAAUAUACAGCUUUAAAGAUUCCUUAUAUUUAAAAAUGAACAAUUUAUCUGAAUAUACAGAAAAUUAUUAAGCACAUAAUCACUUUAUUUGUCUCAGAACAUGACAGUUUGAUUUAAUUUUUAGCAGAGUUGUGAUAAUUUUAGACUAUGCAUUAGAUGGUAGGUUUCCCUUAGAGAUAAAUACAUAUAAAUGAUACUAAUAUUUUCAGGGGUGGAUCAAGUCAGUUUAAAAAGGAAGUGUACCCAACCAAGAAUAAAGGGAGAGGGGUUCCAACAAUAUGUCCCAUUCAAAUGCAUUGGUCAUCAAAAAAGGGACCUGUUCCAACCCACAGAACCCCCACCAUGGAUUCACCACUGAUUUUUUGGUAUCAACUUUAAUACAGAAAUUAAAAAGUACAAAUAUUCAGAUUUUGGGGUUUUCAGACAUGCAUGUGUCUGUUUUAUUUUCUGAACAAAGAUAUCAACCAGCUGCAAGUUAGUCAUGCAGUUAUAAUCCAGUCUUGAUAUGGUGUUAGUCUUCACGUAAAUUUACUACAGAAGUUACCACUAUUGUUUUAUAUUCUACAGAUAACUUAACCAUGUUAAGGUGGUACCCAACACUUUAACUAAAAUUAAUUUGGCUCGUUUAAUUUUCUUGAAAUUUUGACAAAGUAUUUACUUUGACCCUU